AGAGGGUAUACCAGCUGGACGUCCGCCGGCGCUUAAGUGAUCACUAAUCUCAAACUAGGACCGAGUCCUGCUUGCGACCGCCGCACGAAUUGUGUACGUUCAGCUCGCCAUUCCGGGAAGCCCCAUGUGCUCGCCGCUUGCCCACUCAUUGUGCACCCACUAGACGGAGCAUGAAGCCCUAUUCGGACCCUUUGACCCAGAUUAUGGCCUAUACUGGUGUACGACGUACCACACACCACCUUUCUAAAUAGCCACGCUCUACCCGGGCGCCGGAUAGUCGAACAACCACCCCAUUACCGGAUGGUUCCGCUGCUGCCCAUCGGCUGGACUCUCCCACUGGCCGGUGUGACCCUGACUCUGUGCCGGGUUUGAGGAUGCCCUCCGUCGUCACCCCUUAUAACCUGUUACCCGCGUUCGGACUAGGUCGGUACGGCGCACUCACUACUUCCGGGAUCCCAACAUUUCGAGAAAACACACCCUUCUAUUACUGCCAUGGCGUUCUUAUUCGGGGCCGAUUGAAGCACGGUCGUCGGCGCCAUUAUGCUUCCCCCGAUCGCAACGAGCCUUAGUGACCCGCAUUUCCCACGCAUCCGCCCAGAAAUUCAGUCCCCACUUUAGGACCUCGAGUUGAGGUCUUGACGGAAACUAUGACUUCUAGAACUCAAGCCCUCUCCACUCACCUUGACGCUCACAUCUCCACUUUAAGCAUCUAUAAGCGUUCUUGUGGUCACCGCUUCCGCCGAGUGACCGGGCUAUGACUGCGACUCCGUGCUUUCGCACCCCUCGUUUGUCCUAAUCUAUGGGACCAUCAGUUAGCUUAAG
rnacentral:rRNA from 1 species